GCCACCGCGGUCACACAAGAAACCCAAGUUAACCGUCAUACGGCGUAAAGAGUGGGCUCAAAACUAUCAUACCCAACUAAGACUAAACCUUGCCCAAGCCGUCAUAAGCCCAAGGCACCCCUAAGCCCAACCUAAAAACGAUCUUAGCAUCCAUGAUUCACCCCACCCCACCAAAGCCAGGGCACAAACUGGGAUUAGAUACCCCACUAUGCCUAGCCUUAAAUCUCGAUGCCCCAUAAACACCACAGACAUCCGCCUGAGAACUACGAGCACAAACGCUUAAAACUCUAAGGACUUGGCGGUGCUCUAAACCCACCUAGAGGAGCCUGUUCUAUAAUCGAUAACCCACGAUCCACCCGACCACUUCUUGCCAAAACAGCCUAUAUACCGCCGUCGCCAGCCCACCUCAUGAGAGCACAGCAGUGAGCCCAACAGCCCACAACCCACUAACAAGACAGGUCGAGGUAUAGCCUAUGAAGUGGAAGAAAUGGGCUACAUUUUCUAGAAUAGAAGACCCAACGAAAGGGGGCUUGAAACCUGCCCCCAGAAGGCGGAUUUAGCAGUAAAGCAGGAUAAUCAAGCCUUCUUUAAGCAGGUCCUAGAGCACGUACACACCGCCCGUCACCCUCCUCACAGGACCUCUAAACACACUAACUAAUACAACAUUAACCACUGAAGACGAGGUAAGUCGUAACAA
rnacentral:rRNA from 1 species